AAGCUACCUUCUGUUAAAAAACCGGGCAAGUGCGAGUCGGACUCGCGCACGAAGGGUUCCGUACCAUAAUGCAAAAAAAAAAACAUAAAAAACGGUCACCCAUCCAAGUACUGACCCCUCCCGACAUUGCUUAACUUUGGUCAAAAAUCACGUUUGUUGUAUGGGAGACCCAUUUAAAUCUUUAUUUUAUUCUGUUUUUAGUAUUUGUUGUCAUAGCGGCAACAGAAAUACAUCAUCUGUGAAAAUUUCAACUGUCUAGCUAUCACGGUUCGUGAGAUACAGCCUGGUGACAGACGAACGGACGGACGGUCGGACAGCGAAGUCUUAGUAAUAGGGUCCCGUUUUACCCUUUGGGUACGGAACCCUAAAAAUUAGCGCAUCUACCUCGCUAACCGCCCGAGUUAAGUUUUAAAGUAGUUUAAUAUACCAAUUAAAUUACCUGAUCUUAUUUUUAAAAUUAGUUUAUUUAAGAAUUUACCCCAAAUUUAUCUUACGAGCGACUAGCUCAAACGUUACACCUAAUCGAUUGCUUUCAUAGUUUGAACAAUGAGCAAAAGUAUUAAAAACGCACAAAAUAAUGCCAGUCUUACCUAUGGAGUCCCC